UGGUCCUACUUAAAAAGUAAGUUGUUAACUUUUAAUAAUUUUACUUAUUCAAGGACAUGAAUCACUGAAAAAAGAAUGAACAAGGAUAAAACAGGUGACAUGUCAGGCAGUAGGUACAAAAACUGUAGUGCCAGUUAAAGCAUAUGUAUCCAUUUACGCUUAUAUUUUCACAUUCAGAAGUCUUACCUUUCUAGGGUCUUCCCCAAGUGACCGUAAGUAGUACUUCUCAUCCUUAAACAUCCCAAAGAAAAAAUAACAUCAAUAUUCACUUAAAAAUAUUAGAAAGUAAAAAUGAAAGAAAACAAGUUUUAAAACCUAACCCAGCUGUUUUCGAAAAAGCUGUUUUCUUACUCUUUCUAGUAAUGCUCUCUGGUGGCCAUAUGAAGAAAUGUCUUUAUAUACUGUUUGAAAUAAUGACUGGAUCCACAAAACAUAAGUAAAAUAAAUUCUAAAAGCAAUAUAUACAUACCACAUCUGAAACCACAAUGCUCAAUUUAGACUUUAUACUUCAAAUUACUUAGACUCUUAAAAGAAUUCCCAUGUGUAUAAUACACAUGAUCUCAAGGUAUUGCUGAGUGCCAACAACAAACUUCUGUAUAUAAUACAAAUGGACAAUAGGGGAUAAAUAAAAUAUACUUUAAUAAUUUUUUAAAUCUAGAACACUGUAUUUUAUCAAGCUAUGCCUAUCCCUGAUUAUAUAAAUUGUCAAGUCAAAUCCUCAAGUGUAAGCUCCUAUAUGAAUGAUAGUGUUAUAGUAUUAAAUUUGAUAUUUCAAAAAAUUAUCAAUUAUACUGCACCAAGUAGCUAUAUAUUAGGGAACUGCCUGAACUGUAAACCACUGCUGCUGCUGGCCUCUCCUGUGAGAAGAGAACUGGGAGACACUGGGUGGAGCACAGGGCGGGCCAAGGCGAGGGUUCUGCUGCUGGUGCACCUGCACGGCCACCACGGCACAAACUUCAGAAAACAUCUUACUUCCCGUAGCAGCAUGUCAUAAAUCUGUGAUCAUAAAUGUGCCACAUCAGGUAAAUUCCAUACAUUUAUUGCUCGCUAAAAAUGUUUCAAAUUAUGUUCUUCAAAUUUCUAAGAGUUUUCUACCAGGAUUUAAUAGUAUUUCAGGAUUUAAGAAUAAGCUCACGUGGCAGAUACAGAGAUGCACUUCUCAGACCCCUCUUUAAGAAAGAACCCACUGCUAAGCCCAAAGGAGUGUGAUUAACUUACAGCUGCCGCCUGUUUACUCCUUCAGGUCCACCCCAGCCUUUGAACCAAGGUCAUGACCACCUUGGGGUAGCCCAACUAAUGGCUGAGCAAAAGGCCUACUUCCUUCGGAGCCCACAACUCCUCUAACAGACAGCCGUUGCUUAGGAGUUCCAUGAUAUUUAAGGUGAGUAUACUGAGGCACAGAAAAAUAAUUUGGCCAAGGUGUGAGAUCUAAUGAACAACAGGACCAGUAUCUACGGCAUACACAACCAAACCCGAAGAGUGGCUUUCAGAGAAGAACACAGCUCUUGUAUAUACAAUAUUCUCUUAUAAGAAAGUAAUGCUUUCUGAAACACCCGUUAAAACCAAUUACCUCAGAAAUGAAGAAUUCUUUAUGCUUUUCUUCAGCUGCCCUUUGAACCAAUUUGUCAAAAGGUGUCCUGGCAAAACCCACCCGGUGACAAGGGGCAAGUGCAAGUGCUCCUCGGGAAGAGACGGGGCAGGAGGGGAUGGGACCGGGCCCGCCCUCACUGGGCGUCCGUCCUGCCUUUCGGCACCACCGCGGCACAGAGGCCUGUGGCACUGCUCUAGUCCACCGGCACCACCCUGUGUCGUGAUAAGGCUCCUGAGGAAUAUCUCAAGGUGAAUUUCAGUGAAGUGACAGUUUUCUUCUUCUUCAAUAUCUCUGCACACAUGCCUGGCUCCUUCCACCCAGGUGAACAGGGCUGAACAUCAUAGAAGCAAAGUUCAUUUCCUUUACCUCAGGUUCUUGAGCCUCAAGGGUUACUUUCUCCUCAGGUCCCAUCCUACCCCUUCAAUCUUCUCAAAUCAAAAAUACUGCCCCCCACAUAAGGAUGAUUCCUUAUCAGUUCCAUCAGACAACAAAGUCCUCAAAAGCACUGGGUCAAAAGCCUCUCCCUUCCUCCAGCACUGCACCCCAGCCUCCAAACCUGAUAAAAAGUUAGAAUUGUUUACUCUUAUUUUCCGUUUGAAAUCUGUACUGGGGCAAAACCUGUUCUCCUCCUCUGUAAGAUGACCUUAGGCUUACUUUCUCCUAGCAAUGUUUUCCUACAAACAUAUUUGGUUGAGAUAAAUGUGGAAUGUCAACUGUGACAUCAGGUAAUACGGUUCACUGUAACAUGGUCCCUGACUGGUGAACUAUGUCUGACUAGAAAGCUGGUGGUGGAAUAUAAGUACUUGUUAGGAAGCAGGGGAUUUGGCCUCCUUGUGUGCAGUGUAACUCUUGCGACUGAGUAUACCCCUUGGGGGAACCUAGAAAAUAAGUUCAUGGCUUGUUUUGUGCUACUGGUAUCUGAGCUAGGGUGUUUUUGCACUUACUUUUACAGUCAAGUUUCCUGACAGCUAAGCUGUUAUGGUUGGGAGGCAAAAAAUGGCUCCUGGAUUGGUAUAAGGGCUCCUACUGACACUAUCCACUAGGUUGCUGUUUUCUGCAAAGCCAAGUGCAUCUGAUGCCAGAGUAUGGACUACUGGGUCCUGUGAGCAUGACUGUCAAUCUGAACUCAAGGACACUGCUGGUAAUCUUGAGGGAGCACUGCAAGAGAGACAGAAGGAGUCUGCCAUCUACACAAACCAAUCUCCUAUAUAGUUUCUGGCUAAUUAUAUCAACAAAUUUACUUAGCAUCUUCCUAUUCAAUGUUUUCCAUCUCUGACUCCACCAUACACCCCCAUCCACGCCAAAGCCUUUUUGAAGAGUAGAGGAGUAACAUGGAAGCCUUCCUCUGUAACUGGUGCACUUGCCUGGGCUUAGCUUUUUUACUAAGGAGAACCCAGAAGUGUUUCAAGACCUUUGUAAGAACAGGGCAGAUAGAGUGGUCAGUCCAUAAAAGAACAGGGGUGCCCCGCCACCUUUCUCCCUUAGGUAGUGGUGCCUGUCAGAGGUUCUGCAUUAGCAAAGCUGAGAGAAGGGAAACUGAAGUACAUGCAUUGGGAAGUUCCUUGGCUCUGAGAUCUUAUCGACCCUAUGCAUGUUUCAAAAGAGAGCACCUGCUACUGAAGUUCCACUCGUCUGGACUGGCAUACGGUCUGGGACGGGAGCUGGUAUGAAAGAGGGGUUAGG